rnacentral:tRNA from 2 species
UGGGCUAUAGCUCAGCUGGGAGAGCGCCUGCCUUGCACGCAGGAGGUCAGCGGUUCGAUCCCGCUUAGCUCCACCA